rnacentral:lncRNA from 1 species
CCAUUAGUGACCUUUGCAAGGGCUGUCUCACUGGCCUGAUUGGAGUGGACUGAAGAGAGAAUGGAAGUCUCCCUGAGAGCUCCUGGCUGCAGAGAUGGGGAAGAGGAGUGGGCCUGUGGCCAGUGCCACUCAGAGACCCCUGGAGAAGAACGAAUCCAGGCACCACAGGCCUCAAGCUGGGUCACCUGGACAUUUCCCCUAAUGCUAUGCACGUCAGAACAAGUCCAAGCUGGCUUGCUGUAGAGGACACACAGAACGGAACUGAGGCAGCCCAGACAACUGGCGGACCUGUGACCAACACCAACCAGGACCAGCCAGGCCUGAGCUGACUUGCCAAGUGAUUCUAAAUGCAUAAGUGAGCCCAGCCAACACCACACGGAAGAGAGUGAGCCAUCCUAGCUGAGCCCUGCCCAAAGUCGUGACCCACAGAAUCAUGAGCCAACAAAUUGUUGUGGUUUUGAGCCAUCGCCGCAGGAACCUUCAGGCCUGAGCAGUGAAAUGACUCCAGGAAGAAGGUGACUGUCCUUGUACUGUCGGAUGGGAGGAUGGAUGGCCGGGUACUGCUGGGGUGCUGUCCACACUCUAACCCUCCCUGGGCCCACAUGGGUAACAAAUCCACAAGGGAAGGUGCCCACUCUGGUGUCUGGACAAAGAACAGAGAGUCCCAAUAGCCAAAACCCCUAGAAUUUGGGUUCAUUUCUCUCUGUUUUUCUAGUGUCUCCC